rnacentral:lncRNA from 1 species
ACUCCAGGAGGCAGUGGAAGACAUGAAGGCCUGGUGUGCUCUGGUCCAUGGGGUCACGAAGAGUCGGACAUGACUAACGACUAAACAACAACAGAAGUUACAGGCUUCUUGGGGUCCCAACUCAUUUCUCAGUGGGCUGCUUAAGACUUGGCUCUGUUCCAUGUCUAGAGAUGGGUGUAUUUGUAUUUGUAUAUGAAUAUCCCCCCACAGGUGGAAAUAACGAGGGUCUGGCCCCAUGGGGCCGGACUGUCCACUGGCCAUUCUGCUGCUGACGCCAGCUCAGUGGAGCCUUCCUAUUUCGCUGUUGUCUGCAAUAGAUUAGCCACUCCUGGCAGGAGGCGGGAUGAUCGUCGUAUUUCCACCUGUGGGGGGGAUAUUCCUGUAUGAAUACCCGCAUCUCUCUGCUCUCUGAUUAAAGUUAAAACCCAAUUUCCUAGCUGCCAAGCACCAGCUGCUCCUUAGCCUUCUCUCUCUCUUCAAUUUAGCAGAAUGAAUUAUAUGGAACCGACAGAUGGGGAUUUCAGAACGACACUCCCGCGGGGAUUUCACUGCUGCGAGAAGAUGCCUGGACUGUCACUGGAAACCUGCUGAUAGAGUAAGCUCUUCUACCACCCUUGAGGAUAACAGGCCAGUUAAUGGAUCUCGGAGAGGUGAUGCUUGCAAACAAUGCACAUUCCUUCUGGCCACUUCCUUGCUCCCUCAGCACGAUGCGAGGCAGCUCAUGAACCAUGCAAUACAACACCUUUACAUCUAUUGAGGUACCCAGCAUGGUGAAGAGGAUAGUGACAGACUAGAACUCUGGAGACCUAGGUUUUAAUCUCCACUUGGACAUGGAAACUAAAAUGUGUAGCGAAGGUGGGACUGGUAAAAACAUUUCUUAAAUAUCUUGGGAACUCUAUUGAGAAAGUUACAAUUCAGAUGUGACUUGACAGCACGUAACACACAUUUACCAUUAACUGAGGCCUCGCCCCUUUAUUUAAAGAUAUGAAUCAACUGUCAGAGUUGCUCUGGAGAAGGACCAAAGCGCUCUCUCCUUAUGUUACAAGCAUCAUUAUGUCUUUGUUGCUGAAAACCAAAAUUUUAUUCCAAGUGGCGAUCUAUUCGUUGUAUGGUAUACUGUGUAUAUACUUACAAUGACAAUAAAUUAAAUUAUAUUAUUAUUUAUAAUUGGUUA